rnacentral:rRNA from 1 species
CCAGCAGCUGCGGUAAUUCCAGCUCCAAUAGCGUAUACUAAAGUUGUUGCAGUUAAAAAGCUCGUAGUCGAAUGUAGAUUGUACAGGUGCGCGGACGCUUCGGUGUAAACUUAAGUCGCCUGUGCACCACAAUCUCCCUGAUGUAGGACGGUUGUUCUGGAAUCCAGGACAAAUUCGCCGACUACAUACAUUACUGUGAACAAAAUAGAGUGUUCAUGGCAGGCCAUUUAGGCUUGAAUACCUCAGCAUGGAAUAAUAGAAUAGGACUUCUGGUUCUAUUUUGUUGGUUUUUGGAGCCGAAGUAAUGAUUAAUAGGGAUAGUUGGGGGCACUCGUACUCCGUUGUCAGAGGUGAAAUUCUUGGAUUGACGGAAGACGAACAACUGCGAAAGCAUCUGCCAAGGAUGUUUUCA